rnacentral:rRNA from 1 species
UACGAGGGGUGCAAGCGUUGCUCGGAAUUAUUGGGCGUAAAGGGUAGGUAGGUGGUCUCAUUUGUCUGGGGUGAAAGCCUUGAGCUUAACUCAAGAAGUGCCCCAGAAACGGUGAGACUGGAGUCCUGGAGAGGGUCGUGGAAUUCCCGGUGUAGCGGUGAAAUGCGUAGAGAUCGGGAGGAAGACCAGUGGCGAAGGCGGGUCUCUGGACAGUUCCUGACACUGAGGCACGAAGGCCAGGGGAGCAAACGGG